rnacentral:rRNA from 1 species
UGCGAAGGGGGGACGGAGAAGGCUAUGUUGGCCGGGCGACGGUUGUCCCGGUUUAAGCGUGUAGGCUGGUUUUCCAGGCAAAUCCGGAAAAUCAAGGCUGAGGCGUGAUGACGAGGCACUACGGUGCUGAAGUGACAAAUGCCCUGCUUCCAGGAAAAGCCUCUAAGCAUCAGGUAACAUCAAAUCGUACCCCAAACCGACACAGGUGGUCAGGUAGAGAAUACCAAGGCGCUUGAGAGAACUCGGGUGAAGGAACUAGGCAAAAUGGUGCCGUAACUUCGGGAGAAGGCACGCUGAUAUGUAGGUGAAGCGACUUGCUCGUGGAGCUGAAAUCAGUCGAAGAUACCAGCUGGCUGCAACUGUUUAUUAAAAACACAGCACUGUGCAAACACGAAAGUGGACGUAUACGGUGUGACGCCUGCCCGGUGCCGGAAGGUUAAUUGAUGGGGUUAUCCGCGCGGAGAAGCUCUUGAUCGAAGCCCCGGUAAACGGCGGCCGUAACUAUAACGGUCCUAAGGUAGCGAAAUUCCUUGUCGGGUAAGUUCCGACCUGCACGAAUGGCGUAAUGAUGGCCAGGCUGUCUCCACCCGAGACUCAGUGAAAUUGAACUCGCUGUGAAGAUGCAGUGUACCCGCGGCAAGACGGAAAGACCCCGUGAACCUUUACUAUAGCUUGACACUGAACAUUGAGCCUUGAUGUGUAGGAUAGGUGGGAGGCUUUGAAGUGUGGACGCCAGUCUGCAUGGAGCCGACCUUGAAAUACCACCCUUUAAUGUUUGAUGUUCUAACGUUGGCCCGUAAUCCGGGUUGCGGACAGUGUCUGGUGGGUAGUUUGACUGGGGCGGUCUCCUCCUAAAGAGUAACGGAGGAGCACGAAGGUUGGCUAAUCCUGGUCGGACAUCAGGAGGUUAGUGCAAUGGCAUAAGCCAGCUUGACUGCGAGCGUGACGGCGCGAGCAGGUGCGAAAGCAGGUCAUAGUGAUCCGGUGGUUCUGAAUGGAAGGGCCAUCGCUCAACGGAUAAAAGGUACUCCGGGGAUAACAGGCUGAUACCGCCCAAGAGUUCAUAUCGACGGCGGUGUUUGGCACCUCGAUGUCGGCUCAUCACAUCCUGGGGCUGAAGUAG